CCUCUUCUUUCUUCUUCUCCUCUCUCUUCUUUUUCUUCUUCUUCUUCUUCUUCUUCUCUUCUUGAUCAUCAUCAUCUUAUUCUUAUUCUUCUUCCUUUUUCUCCUCCUCCUCCUCCUCCUCUUCUUCUUCUUCUUUCUUUUCUCUUUCUCCUCCUCUCCUCUUUCUUCUUCUUCUUCUUCUUCUUUUUUCUUGCAGUUUUUUUUCUUCUCUUAUUUUCUUCUCAGUUUUUUCUUUUCUAUCUAUUUUUUUCUUUCCUAUCUACUUUUUUGUACCUAAUAAACUAACUAUCUAAUUUAACUGAAAAAAACAGAAAAA
rnacentral:lncRNA from 1 species